AAUGGGCGAAAGCCUGAUCCAGCAAUGCCGCGUGUGCGAAGAAGGCCUUCGGGUUGUAAAGCACUUUUGUCAGGGAAGAAAUUGCUCAAGUUAAUACCUUGAGUCGUUGACGGUACCUGAAGAAUAAGCACCGGCUAACUACGUGCCAGCAGCCGCGGUAAUACGUAGGGUGCAAGCGUUAAUCGGAAUUACUGGGCGUAAAGCGUGCGCAGGCGGUUUGCUAAGACAGUUGUGAAAUCCCCGGGCUCAACCUGGGAACUGCAAUUGUGACUGGUAGACUAGAGUUUGGCAGAGGGGGGUGGAAUUCCUGGUGUAGCAGUGAAAUGCGUAGAUAUCAGGAGGAACACCGAUGGCGAAGGCAGCCCCCUGGGCCAUGACUGACGCUCACGUACGAAAGCGUGGGGAGCAAACAGGAUU
rnacentral:rRNA from 1 species